rnacentral:rRNA from 1 species
GAUGAACGCUGGCGGUCUGCUUAACACAUGCAAGUCGAACGCAACCUUCGGGUUGAGUGGCGGACGGGUGAGUAACGCGUGAGAAUCUGCCUUGGGGUCGGGGACAACCACUGGAAACGGUGGCUAAUACCGGAUAAGCCUUUGGGUAAAAAAUUUAUUGCCCCAAGAGGAGCUCGCGUCUGAUUAGCUAGUUGGUGAGGUAAGAGCUCACCAAGGCAGCGAUCAGUAGCUGGUCUGAGAGGACGAUCAGCCACACUGGGACUGAGACACGGCCCAGACUCCUACGGGAGGCAGCAGUGGGGAAUUUUCCGCAAUGGGCGAAAGCCUGACGGAGCAAGACCGCGUGAGGGAGGAAGGCUCUUGGGUUGUAAACCUCUUUUCUCAGGGAAGAAGCUCUGACGGUACCUGAGGAAUCAGCCUCGGCUAACUCCGUGCCAGCAGACGCGGUAAUACGGAGGAGGCAAGCGUUAUCCGGAAUUAUAGGGCGUAAAGCGUCCGCAGGUGGCGAUUCAAGUCUGCUGUCAAAGCACGGGGCUUAACUCCGUUAAGGCAGUGGAAACUGAAUAGCUAGAGUGCCGUACGGGUCGAGGGAAUUCCCGGUGUAGCGGUGAAAUGCGUAGAGAUCGGGAAGA